AUUCAGUUAUAUUAAACAAAGAUUAUUUUGACCAGGAGAGCCAUAAAUCAGACAAUUAGAAAUAGCUGUACGUAGAGUUUAAAUGUCUUAUUGAUGAAUAUGAUAUUUAUU